rnacentral:rRNA from 1 species
CAAUAGCGUAUAUUAAAGUUGUUGCAGUUAAAAAGCUCGUAGUUGGAUUUCUGAAGGUGGUUGGAUUGGUGUGACCUCGCGUUGCCUCAACCAUACUAUUUUCAACAUAUGCGAUGAAUUGGUGUGGUUAAUUAAGUUUGAUCCGCCAUUAAAUCGCUCGUUUACUUUGAGAAAAUUAGAGUGUUCAAAGCAGGCAUAACGCCUUGAAUAUGUUAGCAUGGAAUAAUAGCAUAGGACUUUGGUUCUAUUUGUUGGUUGUUCGAGAACUGGAGUAAUGAUUGAUAGGGACGGUUGGGGGCAUCCGUAUUCUCAAGCGAGAGGUGAAAUUCUUGGACCUUGGGAAGACGAACAGCUGCGAAAGCGUUUGCCUAGGACGUUCUCUUUA